rnacentral:rRNA from 1 species
UGCCUAACACAUGCAAGUCGAACGGCAACACGGUCUAGCUUGCUAGAUUGGUGGCGAGUGGCGGACGGGUGAGUAACGCGUAGGAAUAUACCUUAAAGAGGGGGACAACUUGGGGAAACUCAAGCUAAUACCGCAUAAGCUCUUAGGAGGGAAGCUGGGGACCUUAGGGCCUGGCGCUUUAAGGAUAGCCUGCGUACGAUUAGCUAGUUGGUAGGGUAAGGGCCUACCAAGGCGACGAUCGUUAGCUGGUCUGAGAGGAUGGCCAGCCACACUGGAACUGAGACACGGUCCAGACUCCUACGGGAGGCAGCAGUGGGGAAUAUUGGACAAUGGGGGGAACCCUGAUCCUGCAAUGCCGCGUGUGUGAAGAAGGCCUGAGGGUUGUAUUAUCGC